rnacentral:rRNA from 1 species
CCUACGGGUGGCAGCAGUGGGGAAUAUUGCUCAAUGGGCGGAAGGCUGAAGCAGCAAUGCCGCGUGAAGGUCAGUGCCCUAUGGGCGUUAAACUUCUUUUGUGCGGGAGCAAUAUUGGUCACGUGUGACCAGACGCGCGUACCGUCCGAAUACGCGUCGGCUCACUCCUUGCCAGCAGCCGCGGUAAUACGGGGGAGGCAAGCGUUAUCCGGAUUUAUUGGGUUUAAAGGGUGCGUAGGCUGGGAGGUAAGUCAGCGGUGAAAUGCCCCCGCUCAACGGGGUGAAGUGCCAUUGAUACUGCCAUGCUGGAAUGCGGAUGCCGUGAGAGGAAUGUGUGGUGUAGCGGUGAAAUGCAUAGAUAUCACACAGAACACCGAUUGCGAAGGCAUCUCACGAAUCCGCGAUUGACGCUGAGGCACGAAAGCGUGGGUAUCAAACAGGAUUAGAUACCCGUGUAGUC